rnacentral:rRNA from 1 species
GACGAAGGGGGCUAGCGUUGUUCGGAAUUACUGGGCGUAAAGCGAGUGUAGGCGGUUGUCCAAGUUGGAUGUGAAAGCCUUGAGCUCAACUCAAGAAAUGCAUUCAGGACUGGGUGACUAGAGGACCGGAGAGGAUAGUGGAAUUCCCAGUGUAGUGGUGAAAUACGUAGAGAUUGGGAAGAACACCAGUGGCGAAGGCGGCUAUCUGGACGGUUACUGACACUGAGACGCGAAAGCGUGGGUAGCAAACAGG